CAGUAGCCGCGGGAAUACGUAGGGUGCGAGCGUUAAUCGGAAUUACUGGGCGUAAAGCGUGCGCAGGCGGUUCGUUAAGACAGAUGUGAAAUCCCCGGGCUUAACCUGGGAACUGCAUUUGUGACUGUAUAGCUAGAGUACGGUAGAGGGGGAUGGAAUUCCGCGUGUAGCAGUGAAAUGCGUAGAUAUGCGGAGGAACACCGAUGGCGAAGGCAAUCCCCUGGACCUGUACUGACGCUCAUGCACGAAAGCGUGGGGAGCAAACAGGAUUAGAUACCCCGGUAGUCCCUGUCUCUUAUAC
rnacentral:rRNA from 1 species